rnacentral:piRNA from 1 species
UUAUGUCAAGUCCGAAAUGGAGG